UGCCAUCUGGUAGAGAUACCAAGGGACUCUGGAGAGACUGCCUACGUAAGUAGAGAGGAAGGCGGGGAUGACGUCAAAUCAUCAUGGCCUUUAUGCCCAGGGAUGCACACGUGCUACAAUGCCUGGUACAAAGCGACGCUUAGCCGCGAGGUGAAGCAAAUCGCAAAAAACCAGGCCCAGUUCAGAUUACAGUCUGCAACUCGACUGUAUGAAGUUGGAAUCGCUAGUAAUCGCGUAUCAGCUACGACGCGGUGAAUGUGUUCCUGAGCCUUGUACACACCGCCCGUCAAGCCAUGGAAGUUGGGACCACCCGAAGUCCUAUUAGCUAACCGCAAGGAAGCGUAGGCCGACGGUGAGCUCGAUGACUGGGGCUAAGUCGUAACAAGGUAGCAGUACGGGAACGUGCGGCUGGAUCACCUCCUUUCUA
rnacentral:rRNA from 1 species